ACCACGGGAAGGGAAGCAGAGCCGGGAAUGGAAAGCCCGGUGCAAGCGAAGUAGUCGCAGGGUUGGAAAAUCCGCCCUGCAUAAGACGAAGGCGUGAUGCGGAGCGAAAUGAAGUAGUGAAGCUGCGGCCCCUUCCUGUCGAGAAAAGCCGCUAUCGUGUAGCAAGGGCCCGUACCGUAAACCGACACAGGUGGAUGAGGAGAGGAUCCUAAGGCCGGCGGGAGAAGUGUUGUUAAGGAACUCGGCAAAAUGACUCCGUAACUUCGGGAGAAGGAGUGCUGCGCAAGCAGCCGCAGAGAAAUGGCCCAAGCAACUGUUUAGCAAAAACACAGGUCUAUGCGAAACCGGAAGGUGAGGUAUAUGGGCUGACGCCUGCCCGGUGCUGGAAGGUUAAGGGGAGAGCUUAGCAUAAGCGAAGGUUUGAACUUAAGCCCCAGUAAACGGCGGCCGCAACUAUAACGGUCCUAAGGUAGCGAAAUUCCUUGUCGGGUAAGUUCCGACCCGCACGAAAGGCGUAAUGAUUUGGGCACUGUCUCAACAACACACCCGGUGAAAUUGAAAUACCAGUGAAGAUGCUGGUUACCCGCGCCAGGACGGAAAGACCCCAUGGAGCUUUACUCCAGCCUGAUACUGGGAUUCGGUAUUGCAUGUACAGGAUAGGUGGGAGGCUAAGAACUUAUGGCGCCAGCCGUAAGGGAGCCGAUGUUGGGAUACCACCCCUGCAGUACUGGGUUUCUAACCUGCGCCCGUGACCCGGGCGGGGGACAAUGUCAGGCGGGGAGUUUGACUGGGGCGGUCGCCUCCGAAAGGGUAUCGGAGGCGCUCAAAGGUCUCCUCAGGAUGGUUGGAAACCAUCCAGAGAGUGCAAAGGCAGAAGGAGGCUUGACUGCGACACCGACGGGUGGAGCAGGUACGAAAGUAGGACUUAGUGAUCCGGUGGCAUAAAGUGGGAUUGCCAUCGCUCAACGGAUAAAAGCUACCCUGGGAUAACAGGCUUAUCACUCCCAAGAGUUCACAUUGACGGAGUGGUUUGGCACCUCGAUGUCGGCUCAUCGCAUCCUGGAGCUGGAGCAGGUUCCAAGGGUUGGGCUGUUCGCCCAUUAAAGCGGUACGCGAGCUGGGUUCAGAACGUCGUGAGACAGUUCGGUCCCUAUCCGGCGCGGGCGCAGGAUAUCUGAGAGGAGCUGUCCUUAGUACGAGAGGACCGGGAUGGACCGUCCGCUGGUGGACCGGUUGUCAUGCCAAUGGCACGGCCGGGUAGCCAAGACGGGAAGGGAUAAACGCUGAAGGCAUCUAAGCGUGAAGCCCCCCUCAAGAUGAGAUAUCCAUACUCGAAAGAGUGAGAGACCCCUUAGAGACGAUGAGGUAGAUAGGGCAGAGAUGGAAGCACAGCGAUGUGUGGAGUUGACUGUUACUAAUCGGUCGAAAGCUAA
rnacentral:rRNA from 1 species